AAAUUCGGUGUUUUUGAUGUUCCGUGAAAAAGUUUACAGCGCAUUCGACAUAUGGAAUUUACGUCUACUCGAACGUUGACCUGUUGUAGCUUCAAGAUGUCAGCUCAUACCACAUCCCUGCAGCUGUAUUCAAUUUAGCGACGAAACAAAAUCAUGGCCAAAAAACGGACCGACGGGAAUAAGCUCAUUCGACCGUAUGGAAUUUCAACAAUUACACGCACAAUUCAUCUGAUGUUUUAGUUUUUUUUAUAUAUUCUCAUAAAAAACCUCCC
rnacentral:misc_RNA from 1 species